rnacentral:lncRNA from 1 species
UUAAAAACUAAUCUGUUAAUUUUGUAAUAUUUUGAUGGCUUAAUUCAAGUGGGUUCUCUUUGGAUUUUUAGCUGCUGUUGCAUGGGAAGCAGGGAAGCCUUUGGUGAUUGAACGAGUGGAGGUAGCACCUCCACAAGCCAUGGAGGUUCGCUUGAAGAUCCUUUAUACCUCUCUGUGCCACACUGAUGUCUACUUUUGGGAAGCCAAGGUAAACAACAACAAGACGCCUGCUUAGAACGAUCGCAACUUGAAAAGGAACAUGGAAACUAGAAACGGUUUACACCCUUAGAAUCUAUGUCGGUUAAUGAAUCUCCUUCUGGCAGAGACAAAACCCUCUAUUUCCUAGAAUCUAUGGUCAUGAAGCUGGAGGGUGAGUGAAUCUCAGUAAGACUGUCUAAUUAUUAAAAAUUCAUGGAACUGAUAGCAUUUGAUGAAUCUUUGAAUUUGGGUGAGUUAGGAUUUUUGAGAGCGUGGGUGAGGGAGUGACUGAUCUGAAACCAGGGGAUCAUGUCCUCCCAAUUUUCACUGGGGAAUGCAAGGAAUGUGCCCACUGCAAAUCAGAAGAGAGCAACAUGUGUGAUCUCCUCCGGAUCAACACUGACAGGGGAGUCAUGCUUAGUGAUGGGAAGUCGAGAUUCUCCAUCAGAGGACAGCCCAUAUACCACUUUCUAGGGACUUCAACAUUCAGCGAGUACACCGUGGUUCAUGUCGGCUGUGUUGCCAAGAUCAAUCCACUCGCUCCUCUGGACAAAGUUUGUGUCAUCAGUUGCGGGAUCUCAACUGGUAUGUUAAUGCUCAAUGCAUCCCAGAGAAAUAACAAUUGACCAUCUCUAUUAAAAAAUUAAUAACGACAAAGAUUGUGGCUUUUAGGCCUGGGAGCAAUGGUGAACGUAGCGAAACCACCCAAGGGUUCGACGGUGGCUGUUUUCGGAUUGGGAGCUGUUGGGUUAGCUGUAAGUCCUGCGGUAAUAUAGACUUUGAUCUUUGAGAAUUUGACAAGCAAAAACUUACGCAUCUCUUGAUGAUGGAUAGGCUGCUGAAGGUGCAAGGAUUGCAGGGGCUUCGAGAAUUAUCGGAGUUGAUUUGAAUCCAAAUAGAUUUCAAGGAGGUUAUUACUCAAUCCCAUGAUGCAUGACCUCUCACUGCUCGAGACUAUACUGAUCAUUUUUAUAGAUCUUUCCCAAUAUUAUACUGAAGUCCUUACUCGACACAAACUAUAAUCCAAAUCAAAAAGUCUUGCAAGGAUAGCGACAUUGCAGUCGUAAAAUUUGUCAUAGAUAAUAUUGAGAAAAAUGAAGAAGCCAUAAAACUAGAAACUUGACUCGCGGCUUUCAAGCAAAGACAAUAGAUCUAGCUAAUUGUCGCGACUUUCAAUCAGUGAUCAAAGUCCUUGCUGAAUUCAUUUUCUUAUUUGCUAAAAAUGGGGCCUAUAUUACUCUCUAAUAAUGACUCUUUCUCAAUUGUCUCUCAACAGCAAAGAAGUUUGGUGUGACUGAAUUCGUGAACCCGAAAGACCACAACAAACCUGUUCAGGAGGUUUUUAGUGAACUGUCUAAGGAAAUAGAAUCCAUUCCUCCGGUCUAUAUCAUUCUUAGGUUUCCCUCAAAUAUUGAUUGCUUACCAGGUGAUUGUUGAGAUGACAAAUGGAGGAGUUGAUAGGAGUGUCGAGUGCACUGGAAAUGUCAACGCCGUGAUUUCUGCGUUCGAAUGUGUACACGAUGUAUGCACUUUUCUUUUGGCUAUGCAAGCAAUUUGCGAGCGAGAAACUUACAGACUGUCCUAAUUAUAUAUUACGGAUUCUAAUGAAUUGAGAAACUCCUAACAAGGUUGGGGAGUUGCUGUUCUUGUGGGAGUGCCCCAUAAAGAUGCUGUCUUCAAGACUCAUCCUAUAAAUCUAUUGAAUUAGAGGUCUCUGAAGGGCACGUUCUUCGGAAACUACAAACCACGUUCAGACAUUCCCUCCGUCGUAGAGAAAUACAUCAACAAAGUAAAACAAACUCUGAACUAUAGCAAUCGAAAGCAUCAAUUUAUCUCUCUGUUUUUUACUUAUGUCCUGUAUGAAAUUGAUUUCCUAGUCUUAAAUGUUCCAGGAGCUUGAAGUGGAGAAGUUCAUCACUCAUCAGGUCCCAUUCUCGGAGAUCAACAAGGCAUUCGACUACAUGCUUGAAGGCGAAAGCCUUCGAUGCAUCAUUCGCAUGGAGGAGUAAAGAAGCGGAUAAAGAACCCGAUAGCACUGAAAAGAAAUAGAAGUAAUGCGUGAGAGAAUUCGCUGAACGAGCGUGCUUAAGGGUCCAAUUCAAGGUUCUUUUGGAAUGUUCUUCUGCUGUCAUCCAUGUACUUUUGAGAAUAAUUGCAUCUGGUUUGUGAUCUUUUAGCCUUUGAAACUUGACUCGACUUAUAAUCCGUAAAAUUCCUUGAAUGUGCAAAAUUAUCAACUUGGACUUAAUUCGAUGUUUAUCAACGGUUAAUUGAAGUGAUGAUUGGAUUCAAAACAUUCUCGGAAUCAAAAACUGUAGCGUGAUUCAUCUUGCAAUUAUAAAUGAAGAAUUGAAGCCUUCAUAUAAACCUUCUACAAUAGUCGUCACACUUUACCUCUUCGAGAGUUCUCUUAGAAUCAAGUAUUGAAUAUAGAAUUUCCAUGAGUUAAUGCAUGAGCUGAAUUUCCAAAUUAAGGAACUUUUCCAUGGCAUCACCACACUCAGUGAGAUUGUUAGGAUAGAGUUUUCAUGUUCUGCAAUUGAUUUGAAAUUCAAAAUAUUAUAAAUGAUAUGCUGGAUUAAAUUAGAGAGCAGAUGGUAAUUUAGAGUGACAUGAGACGCAAUAGAGAAUAAAGUGCUCGAUCUUCAAAUUCCUUAUUGACUUACUGGCAUAUGCUAAUUAUUAACUCUUUAAUCUAUAACAUCUGCCCUGUAACUUUUACAUGAAUACAUAGUCCUCCAUUCUUCUCUACUGCAAAAGCGAGUCAGGUGCCCAUUCCAUUAUAAACAUGAGGCUUCUUAGAAAGACAAAUCGAUCCAAAGAGUGGUGUAGUGUUAUCUUUGCCAAAGAUAUCCCACAAGUCUUAACCCAGCCAAUAAAACUGCAUACGAGAACCCCAAUUAGUUGAACUUCUCGACGUUGUUCACCGAACUAAAAAUAUCCGCCAUUUGACUUGGAUAUAAUGCUCGGCAUUACACCAAGUAAGCAGGGUCCUAGACCAAUUGAUCAUAGUGCCUAACUAUAUACAGGCAAAAUUUCAGCAUACUCCGGUCCCUAACUACCCUUGCAAUCCUGACCAUCUUAUUCGCAUACCACGAUCUUGAUCACUGGGUUUAGGGUUCAUGACCUCCUACUUUGAUACGAUUCUUGGCCCUUGAGCUCUAAUACCACUUGUUAAAUUUUAGACACGCAGCUUUGAUACGACUUGUGGAGUUUGUGGAAAUGCGAUACAAUUAUAACACCCAAAAAUCUCACUUUAACAUUACUCAGAACAAACUAGCUCCUACCAUACUCAGAGCAAACUAAUUCCUACUAACUUUUCAUACAACUUUUUUUUAUUUUACUCUCCCUCGUGGACGGACUACUCUCUUUUUCUCUAUUUGUGAAGCUCUCCCAAUUUAAGGCUCUCUCUAGCCUUCCUCUUUCGGUCUCUCUAUGUUUCUCUCAUCUCUCUAUGUUACGACAAAUGCGAAUGGGAGCACCUAUUGAGGACGUUGACAAGUUGCCUAGUCGCUAUGGCCAAUUUUCCCCCAAGGAAUUCUAGAGGUGGCGCACAAGUUGACAAGUUGCUUGACAACUUGUGGCCAGAUUUUCCUUCGGAAAAAUCUAGAGGUGACAGCUUGAAGAAAAAUCAAGAGGAGAGAGAGAGGAGGCAGUGCUUCUUUGACAAUUUACAGAUCAUUCAAAUCUAUUGAGGGUUGCGGCAGUGGAUAAGAGAACACUCAUAGAAGACAUAAAUCCGAUAGUCAUAGCUACUUUUAGCACAAGCGAAUAUACUGUGUCCGAUGACUGAAACAGGAUAAGAGUAUUUUCCAUUUAUCCGGUACAGCUAUUGCGGUGAGGGUGAAAAAUAGGUUGAUCAGCAAAAUAGCUUCAUAAAACUGACACUGCAUUUUCCCCCUUUCUGGAAAAAUUAGGAAGUUCUAAAUUUAAAUAAAUAAAAAAGGUUAAGGAAGCUUACUGUUAGCGACAAAUUUAUUCAAGACAUUCAAAUCACUCAGGCGGGCCGUUAGCUAAAGAGUGGCCCCCAAGUGAUCUGAUUGCACAGUAGACUUGAAGGGGUCUGAUCCGAAAGAGCCGAGGAUAUUGUCGUGACAAAAGAAAGAAAUAGACAGAUGCAAAAAUAUCAUCAUGAUCGUCACCGAGUGGAUUAUCGUGCGGGCUUUGUUUGUUCUCAGCCAGCAGCAUCUUGACUUUAUCUGAAGUUUCAUUGUCCAUCAUCUUUAUCGCAAAAGGAGAGAGAAGACCCACUUGGCAAUUUCAACAUUUUGAUCUGUCAUGCUGAAGUAAAUCUACAGUAAAACCAGGGAAUUUGAUAUCUCGAACUGGUUUCAACAUCGCCCGUUGUAUUUUUCCUUCUCGUGACAAGGCUCAUUGAAGUAUUCUUCCUUCUCGUGAUAAGGCUUAUUGAACAGGUCUAAAUAACUGUUCCUAGUAAAAGGAACUUUCGCAAUCUUUCCCCCUUUCUUUCUUUUCUUUUUUUUUUUUUUUGCUAAGAAGGAAGGUUGCCUCUCCUUUAGUUUCGUGUAUAUAUAUCCACCAAAUGACACUGCCCAUCAAAGCAAAAGCUAAAGGCUUCAGUUUGAUUGUUUUUAGGUAUCAGAUAAAACAUAUUCCUUUCUUCUUUGAGAAAACAAGAUGUCAGGCACUGCUGGUCAGGUGAUACAUUGCAGAGGUACGCACUUUUCUUCUUUAACGAGAAGCUUUUUCUUCAUUUAAAUGGAAACAAAAACUAAUCUGCUGGAGUUUUGUCAUAUUUUGAUGGCCUAAUUCAAGUGGGUUCUCUUUGGGUUUCUAGCUGCUGUUGCAUGGGAAGCAGGUAAGCCCUUGGUAAUUGAACAAGUGGAGGUAGCACCUCCACAAGCCAUGGAGGUUCGCUUGAAGAUCCUUUAUACCUCUCUCUGCCACACUGACGUCUACUUUUGGGAAGCCAAGGUACACAACAACAAAGCCCCUGCUCAAAAUGAUCACAACUUGAAAGCAAACAAGAAAACUAGAAACUGUUUACACUCAUAGAAUCUAUCUAUGUCGGAUAAUGAGUCUCCUUCCUGCAGGG